AUCCACAAGUCAUUCUGAUGGUGCUCACUUUCCGGGGACGAAGUUGGUGGCGUAGGCCCAGGCGUUGUUGUUCACUGGGUCGGCAAGGUGAUCGGCGAGGUUCUCCAAGGGACCCUUUCCGGUCACAAUGGCCUGGACGAAGAACCCGAACAUGGAGAACAUGGCCAACCUACCGUUCUUGAGUUCCUUCACCUUGAGCUCAGCGAAAGCCUCUGGGUCGUCAGCGAGGCCCAAUGGGUCGAAGCUGCCACCGGGGUAAAUGGGGUCAGUGAUCUCACCGAGAGGCCCACCGGCAAUACGGUAACCCUCGACGGCGCCCAUGAGGAUGACUUGGGUGGCCCAGAUGGCGAGGAUGCUCUGAGCGUGGACGAGGCUUGGGUUUCCCAAGUAGUCGAGCCCACCCUCGCUGAAGAUCUGGGAACCAGCUUUGAACCAGACGGCCUCGCCGAAUUUCACGCCGUUGCGGGACAGGAGUUCGGGGAAGACGCAGCCCAAGGCUCCGAGCAUGGCCCACCUGGAGUGGAUGACUUCCAGCUCACGGUUCUUGGCGAAGGUUUCUGGGUCAGCGGAAAGCCCAGCAGUGUCCCAACCGUAGUCACCUGGGAACUCGCCGGUGAGGUAGGAUGGGGCCUCGCCGGAGAAUGGGCCCAAGUACUUGACACGGUCUGGGCCGUACCAUGGGCUUCCGGAGGAGGCCUGCUUGGUGACGGCCUUCCUCAUGCUGACCCUCCCGACUUCCGGGGCUGAUGGGGCAAGCUUGACGGCCUUGCCAGCCAGGGAG
rnacentral:lncRNA from 1 species